rnacentral:rRNA from 1 species
GGGCCAGACUCCUACGGGAGGCAGCAGUGGGGAAUAUUGCACAAUGGGGGAAACCCUGAUGCAGCGACGCCGCGUGAGUGAGGAAGUAUUUCGGUAUGUAAAGCUCUAUCAGCAGGGAAGAAAAAAUGACGGUACCUGACUAAGAAGCACCGGCUAAAUACGUGCCGGCAGCCGCGGUAAUACGUAUGGUGCAAGCGUUAUCCGGAUUUACUGGGUGUAAAGGGAGCGCAGGCGGUACGGCAAGUCUGAUGUGAAAGCCCGGGGCUCAACCCCGGUACUGCAUUGGAAACUGUGUUGCUGGAGUGCUGGAGAGGCAAGCGGAAUUCCUAGUGUAGCGGUGAAAUGCGUAGAUAUUAGGAAGAACACCAGUGGCGAAGGCGGCUUGCUGGACAGUAACUGACGUUGAGGCUCGAAAGCGUGGGGAGCAAACAGGAUUAGAUACCCUGGUA